GACCCUCUGGACCCCCCAGACUCCCUUGGACCCCCUGGACCCUAGACCCCCUGGACCCUCGGGACCCCCUGGACCCAGACCCCUACCUUGUAGAGACCUGUUCUGUUCGCUGACCUUUGACCCCAGCCCUCAUAGUGUGUACGGUGACCUCUGACCCCAGCGCUCCUAGUGUGUAUAGUGACCUUUGACCCCACUGUGUGUACUUGACCUCUGACCCCAGCCCUCAGUGUGUCCGGUGACCUCUGACCCCACUGUGUGUCCAGUGACCUCUGACCCCACUGUGUGUCCAGUGACCUCGGACCCCACUGGGUGUACAGUGACCUCUGACCCCACUGGGUGUACAGUGACCUCUGACCCCACGGUGUACAGUGACCUCUGACCCCACUGUGUGUCCAGUGACCUCUGACUCCACUGGGUGUACAGUGACCUCUGACCCCACUGGGUGUACAGUGACCUCUGACCCCACUGGGUGUACAGUGACCUCUGACCCCACUGGGUGUACAGUGACCUCUGACCCCACUGUGUGAACUGUCUCUCCUCCACUAACAGCAGGAGCUGCUCCUCUAUGAUCCUCCUUAUCAGGUGAUGAAGAAUAGGUUAGUGUUAACCUGGGGUUAUCAUUAUACUGGAUAUAUCAGGUGAUGAAGAGUACCGGGUAGGUUAGUGUUAACCUGGGGUUAUCAUUAUACUGGAUAUAUCAGGUGAUGAAGAGUAGGUUAGUGUUAACCUGGGGUUAUCAUUAUACUGGAUAUAUCAGGUGAUGAAGAGUAGGUUAGUGUUAACCUGGGGUUAUCAUUAUACUGGAUAUAUCAGGUGAUGAAGAGUAGGUUAGUGUUAACCUGGGGUUAUCAUUAUACUGGAUAUAUCAGGUGAUGAAGAGUAGGUUAGUGUUAACCUGGGGUUAUCAUUAUACUGGAUAUAUCAGGUGAUGAAGAGUAGGUAAGUGUUAACCUGGGGUUAUCAUUAUACUGUAUGUAUCAGGUGAUGAAGAGUACCGGGUAGGUUAGUGUUAACCUGGGGUUAUUAUACUGUAUGUAGGCCUAUGUUCUAAAUAUAAAUGCAUAUCAUUUAGCACUACUAUUAAAAAAAGAAGUGAAACUAAUUUAAAAGAUUUAAAGAACUAAAUGCCAUUAAUUGAAAUAACCUGUUUUAAAUAAAAAUUCGUCUUGGACUUGA